AUUGCUGUUUAGUCCUAUUUACGAACUGACAACACAAACGAAUUGUGUGCUUGACAUUAUAGGCCCAAUCUACGUUCCUUCCAUUAAUUUGAUUUCUGGUUUCGGCUCAUGUAAAACAAAUAUGUUUCGUCCUGAAUUGACCGACGAUCAAAAAAAUUUCUAGAGUUUCAGCUGCAAAAACAAUCAUGAAGAAUGUAGAAAAUUACACCAUGGGUGUCAGUUACGGAGACAGUCAACGGUUCAGUUUUGAAGACAACGGAACAAUGUAUUUGUAUCACAAAUCAGAAAAGGAGAAGAUUCCCAGCACUGUUCUUGUUUGGAGCUGUAUAACUACUAUCAACUCAACAAUUUCACGAGUUGAUGGUAGACGGGACUCAGCUAAAUACAGAAACCUUCUAGAAGAGCAUGAGCUUCCAUUGGCACCACAGACUACAUAGCACAUGAUUAAAUACGUCCAUGACUGGUUUCCGGUCCAUUAUUCUACUGCCAUGAAAAAGUAUUAUAGUGAACACAAAAAUGCGUUGAUUCUUCGUGACUGGCCAAGAUGUUUUAGAGACGUGAUGCCUGCCGAAUCGCUCUGGAAGCAGAUGCUCAACGAGCUAACUGAAAAUAAAAUUGAAGUUUUUAGUUAGAACAAACUAUGGAAAUAAAUUUACAAAGUUCGUCUAAACCAAAUUUCAGUUAGUCUUGAGCAAGUGGUCAACAACCAAGGUGCUUGUGUUGAUUAGUAUUCUGUUUGUUGGCACUUUCUUAACAGUUAAUACAAACAAUCCCUCAGA